UACGGGGGGGGCAAGCGUUGUUCGGAAUUACUGGGCGUAAAGGGCUCGUAGGCGGCCAACUAAGUCAGACGUGAAAUCCCUCAGCUUAACUGGGGAACUGCGUCUGAUACUGGAUGGCUUGGAUUUGGGAGAGGGAUGCGGAAUUCCGGGUGUAGCGGUGGAAUGCGUAGAGAUCCGGAGGAAGACCGGUGGCGAAGGCGGCCUGCUGGGCAGUUACUGACACUGAUGCGCGACAGCGUGGGGAGCAAACAGG
rnacentral:rRNA from 1 species